CUCAUGAAUAUUCAGGAAGUCAAAACGUGGUCACGUGGCACUUUUCCGGAACCUGGUGAGCUGAAGUUAGCGGACUGCCAUAGCAGCUUAUAUUUACUAUGGAAGAAGAGUAUUCACAACCAUUAUUCAUAACAGAUUCUGAGGAGAGUGAAAAAGAAAUUGGAGAAAGUGAAUCUCAAGCACAGACGCAAGCUCCAAGAUUCAUGCCACUUUUCACUCCACGCUUUAGUUCUGAGAAUACAGCAUUGAUAUUUUUUAUCACUGUAUGCAAUUUUUUACUCAUUGUUGUACAUCUUUUUUUUUAAAAUUUUAUAACCAGAGAUAUUUGUUAUUUAUAGAGAAGGGGUGAUUCUUUCUUUAAUAAUGUCAUAACAUUCGAUUACUUAUACAUGUAACUUUUUGUAUUUGCAUAUGACUUUGAUGACGUCCAGUCAUGCCAAAAAAGAAAUUAUUUUGUCAUGUGUAAUCCCUGUGAUUAUAUCAUAUAUUGUUAAUUUUUUUAAGUUUUAUAUUUUUGGUUUUGUAGUUGGUAGUUUUCAUAUGAUUGAUGUUGAUCAUGAUACACAGUUUUGUUUUCUGUUAUUUUUAGAUUUAGGUCAUAAGUUUUCACCCAGAAAAAUUCUGUUAUUUAU